rnacentral:rRNA from 1 species
UACGAAGGGGGCUAGCGUUGCUCGGAAUCACUGGGCGUAAAGGGUGCGUAGGCGGGUUUUUAAGUCAGGGGUGAAAUCCUGGAGCUCAACUCCAGAACUGCCUUUGAUACUGAAGAUCUUGAGUCCGGGUGAGGUGAGUGGAACUGCGAGUGUAGAGGUGAAAUUCGUAGAUAUUGGGAAGAACACCGGUGGCGAAGGCGGCGCUCUGGACCGAGACUGACGCUGAGGCGCGAAAGCGUGGGGAGCAAACAGG